rnacentral:lncRNA from 1 species
GUUAACUAGGUCUAUAAAUAGAGUAAAUAGAAUUAUUGGUCUCAAUGAAUGUUAUUAAUUUAGCAAGCGUAUAUUGUGAUGAUUGAUUUAGAUAAAUCGGUAAAUCAAGUAAUUAAGAUACAUAGUUUAAAGAGUUAAUAAAAAGUUAGGAAUAAAAAUGUAUUUUCUAGUAUAAUAUGUCCAUUUGAUUAAUGGAGGUAGUCGAUGCCCUGCGGUGAUAUCCAUGGUGCUUAAUGCUUGGUUUUAAAGUGUUUCAUUCUUCUAGUGUAGAUUAUUUAUAUUAUACUCGUUACACUCGUGCUCAUACAUGUGCAUCGUGCAUCUCAUGAGGUACGAUAAAUAAUCUCGUGAUGUGGAAGACAAGCCAAGUCGACCCCAAGCGCGGGCUAACCCGCAGGAUGAUGCAGAUGGAUAACCCGAUCAAGUACCAAGACAAAGGCUGCUCGUCAAGCGAACGUCGUCUAACAACACUAACCUAGUGUUACUCAGGCAAGCCCCGGUGCAUGCAGCCCCUUCCUUGUGUUUUUAAAUAAUUUUUGCACACUUUAAGUCUAGUGAAAUGUGCAUUAGGUUUAUAGAAGUUGCUUGGAACCCUUUGAUGCAUUGCCUUCCUUGAUAUCCAUACCUUUAUAGAUACUUAUGAUGAAGUAUCAAAAUAUGAUUUACAAAAUUGCUUAGCCUUGCUUAGAGGUAAAUCUUGUGGAUAGAGCUUGUCCUUUGCAUUGAUGCCUAGCUCAGGGGUUAUCCUGAGGAAGGAUGGCUUCUACCUGCAAGAAUAUUUUCAUUUGGAGCAAUGGUGGGAUCUUACUGCAAAGUUCCCUGUGAUGCUCUUUUCAUCCUAAGGAACAGAAACAAUCCUAAGGAUGGAAGUACGUAAAUUGAGACUUGGGGUAGGAACAGGUGAUGUUCUACCCAGGUUGAUUAAGGAUUGAUGCGUAUGUAGGUGUGCUGACCGAGGACCCUUUAACUGGUCACAUGCCUCGUCAUGGGUAAGCCUUGCCUCGGGCAGACUAAGGCCAGAAUAAGAUAACACGAAAUGGGCGUAGAGCGGUGGCGAGAGUAGCGUGUACCCUCCGUGGCAAGAGGCUGGACGGUGGUGUAUCUGUGCUCUCGGUUUGCGUGAACCUGAUCUGGUCUUAAGAACCCCGGUGGCGGGUUGACAUAUGCAAGGGUUAAGUGCUACAUAUGUCGUGUGAUUGGAGAUCCUCAGCUGAGUAUAAUCGAUUCGGAUCGCCGUACCUUCGCGGUUAUGAAGACUUGGUCACUUGUCUACAACCUAAGUCAGGAUGUGAACAUUAUGAAUAAAAAGGAUGUUGCAUUGAUGAGAUGAUGAAAUUAGACUAGAUGCAAACAGAGUCUAUUGAUAUAUAAUCUGGCGUUAAAAUAUUGAAAGUAAGGACUCACUUUAGUAAGCUAUUUCUGCAAAAGUAUAUUUGAUGUUUGCUAAAGCCUCUCCUUGACUCCUAUUUAUCCAGCAUACCCUUGAGAGUCUUUUCCUUAGUCGGGUAAGACUUGCUGAGUAAUUCCAUACUCAGGGUUUUAUUCCCUGUUGUUUUUCAGGAUAUAACUUUGUGCUGCUGUGAUGGUGUUAAGUGCCGGUGGGCUCGGCCUUCUUAUAAGUCUAAGUAACCCUUCUAUACUUCUUAUUGAGGAUGAUCCCUUGAGCUAGCAUAUAUUUCAAACUUAUACUUUUGUAACCACUCCGAUAAACUAAUAUAAAAUUUUUGUAACUUGUAAAAUUUGGUAGUAAGAUUUCCGCUGCAAUAAUAUUGGUGUGUGUGUGAUUUGUGUUACUUAAUCCCGCGGUUCUGGUUGUAAGUGGUUUAUCCGAUGUCCUUAGGGCAAUCAGACGGAUCCUGUUAAGUUAUCUGGUGCACAUGCAUAGCAGUCUGAGGUCUUUGAGACAAGGACAGAUGCAUGUGGGCCCAAUAACUUGGGAGGUUCUGCCACAACUGGUAUCGGAGCAGGAUUAAGUAUCUACAGUCACAUACGUAUUUUCAAACAAAAGUUUUGGUUUCGAAAAACCUAUUUUCAACUAAAUACAUUGUUUGGUUUUGAAAAACAGUUUUGAAAAACUAUAAUGCUAGCGACAUCCUCUAUUAAGCCCUAAGUUAAGGACUAUCAGGUGGCUUAGUUCAAAACCACUAACCCACAACCGGGGGUAUUGCAUACAUGUGUAUUGUUAUUUUUUAGGCCAUUCAGUUCUGAAUGGAUCGACGCCCAAGGUAAGGUGAGAUGUGAGAGCAUGACCGAACAACCAUCGGUCUAGGGAAGUGCUUAAUUGUAGCGCUCGAUUAUAUACAUGUUCCACAUAUGUAUAUAUGAAGGCUGCGAUGUGGAGUAUUUACUUUUUUGGGAAUUCAGUACCCCAUGGAUGUGUAUGGGUAUACAGACAUGGGAAUACUGAGAAUUGUAAUGUACUUGUAACGACGCACCUACGCUCAGGUAAGAAGGUAAGUUACCAUAAUGGGUUGCCCUGUGGUUAAAGUGUGGCAACGACGCCUAUGCGUGGCUCGGCGCUUAAUGAUGAGCUGGCCUCCAUAUAGCAAUAUAUGGAGUAUAAACUGUGAUAAACUGUCAUGUGUGACUUGCAUCAUUGGGAAUUGGGCUGUAAUGAAAAUUUUCUGCAGGUACACUAACUCGAAAACGUAUGUGUAGCUGACGAUUAGCAAAAUACCGAGAGAGAACGUAUGCCACCGAUAUAGAACGCUAUUGCCACAUUAUGUUGGCAAAAUCAGUGAGGACGUGUAGGACGAGCAUGCAUCCUGAUUGUUGCAUCAUGUUUGUCACCUAUACAUCCAAAAUGCUUCUCUCAUCCUUAUUCCAGAAACCAGUGAUUGUAGAUAAUCUGGUGUAAUGUUAAAUUAUAAACUUCGAUGUAAUAGCUGUCCUCCGUCCUUGAGGUAAUCUGUUUAGGUGUUAUAUGUGUUUGCUCUUGUGCUUGAUGUGCCGAUAGAAGGUUGGUAACUUGAUUGCCUAAACCCAAAACUAGGCCAUGUUCUUAGUUGGUGAACCAUGACCAAAGUUGAUUUUUCUGUUAGCACUCCAUGACCAAACUUAUACAAAUAACUGCUUAGAUAAUUUCUUUGUUGGACAUAAAAGUGUACCCAAGCUUAAAACAAGAAUUUCGAGUCAUGUCUCCAUCCUAAACCAUUCCCUUGUUUGAUUUGUGCAAGCUGAUGUCUCUAUUCCAGUUUGCCUGUUCUUAAGGAUCGCCAUGUUGCUUUUUCAACCUAACUCAAGAAAGACCUGUUCGAUCAUUUCCUUGAAUUUGAUGCCUUUGGUUUCCCCAUACCUAUCGAAGGCAUACCAACUCAAUCCUUGACCUUGUAAUCUCUAUGAUGGGCAUAGAAAUAUGCUUGGGACUGAAUUAACAGUCUCCCAUCGUACUCCCUCCUCAAUUUAUUUUAGGUCAUGGCCAUACUUUGUUCGUUUCAUCGGGCCGUGAUCUGUUUGGCUCUCUACUUGUAACUAUCCUUACAGGUGGAGUAUCUCUUUGUACAUUGUCACCCUUGCUCAAUCCAUUUGUGUUGCGCAAGAUUUGUUAUUGGUUACGUCUGAUAAUGGUGUUGUGACUAAAACUGAUGGUGCCGCGACAAAACCGAGGGCCUCCUGUGGAUGCAUACACAUGGUUGCGCUACUCAGCACGCGCUGGUAUCACGGUUAGUAGUUAUAAUCCAUUAUGAGACUAUAUCAAUGUGUUAUCUUGGCACAAAUUGUUCUUACCAUGUGAGAUUCAUUAUUGGUGCCAGUUCGGUAAUGGUGUCAUGAUUAAUGACUUAUGGUGCCGCAGCGAAACUGAGAGCCCCUUGUGAAUGUACACGCAAGGUUAUGCUGCUUGGCGCAUGCUGGUAUCGAGGUCUCUAGUCAUGAUCCAUUGUGGAACUACACUGAUAUGUUAUCUUCCGUAAACAUUUCCCUUGAAACAAUUUCUAUGUUGUUUGUCAAGUGAUCAAGCAACAUCUAUCAUAUCUGUUGGAUCAAAAGGGCAUACCCCUUUAAUGUGUGGUCUCUUGUCCCUUUACUUUGGUGGUGACUACACACAUACAAGUUCCCUUUACGUCCUUUGUGUAAAGGUGAAGCCUUGGAGAUUUUUAGUGUCGAGAGACAACUGAUUAGCUCUCAAAAUGGUGAUUUGUUUCCCCUGCUGCUGAGAUGCAGGAGUUUGUUCAUUCGCUCUCUUAUUUAAUCCAUGUACUUCCGAACCAAGUCAUUUCAUCUCACAUGAAGAAACGGAUGAACAACAUGACCAAAUGGAUUUCUACCCAAGUGCAUAAUCUCCUGUUAGCCAAUGUGAACUCUGAACCCUUGGCUUACCAAUGGUACUGAGAGGAUCUGCUCAAUGUCAAAAGUAGUUCAACAAGUUGGUUUUAUUAACUUGUAACUGCUCAAUGAACGAAGGUUGAGUUUAGAGAUCGUUUUGUCGAGUUGUCUAAACUCACUUUUGUACAAACCAUCUUAAGGAAGUGUUUAUAAGAAUCGAGAUUAAGUCGGCCAGUAACCACCAAAUCAUCGCUCUAGUCAUGCCUCGAUCGCCUCACGUGUGCUUUUCCAGCAUGUGUGAUCAAGUCGAGCCAUGGUUAGUACUUGCUAAAAUGGAUUGGUUGCAAAGACAACAUCUACAGAUCCCUCCGCUGGUGAUUCUCUCGAAUCUAUAUCACCUUUCAGGGACUUGGAUUUUCUGGCUAGCCACGGAUCAACUGUGAUGUUAUUCGGCAUUCACACCCGUCUCGUGUGCUAUGAAUUUCCUGUAACCACUUGUGGUAAACCUCUUUCUGUGUGUGUUUUACCCAAGAUGGUGCAUCUGAUUCUGUUUGGGGAAAAUCGCGUAUUUGUCGCUCGCCCAAUAGACUUAGAUAGUACAAUGUCAUAAAAAAAAGCAAACUGCACACAUAAAACCUUAUGUGUUCUUCUGGCAGACAGCGUCUCUAUUGGUGGGCAUUUCUAAAUUAGCCUAAGGCAAUACUUGUUAUGUCCACUAGAGAAACCACAUUCUGAGACACUCGUCUUCGCUUGAGACUGCCUUUCGAUUACCGCUGAUAUGGACUGGGUUACAUACUUCUCUACCCUUAGAAGUCUUUCGCUCCGAAUCUCGGGACGAGAUUCUUUUAAGGGGGGAGGGCUGUAACACCCCAGGUGUUUAUAUUCCGCUCGACAACGAGUACGGAUUUAAGCACGUAAUAUCAGUGGGUAAAACGGAUGCGAAAUUUUAAUAAUCUUCGCCUCUCGCGAUUUUAAUAUCGCAUCUGUGCCGUCUGUCGUGAGUGCGACAUCGUUUUUAUUUUCAUCUAUUCGGGCUCGUCCUAAUUUUUUGUGAUGUUCGAAACAUAUUUGUUCUGAAAAUCGGGCGUGAGGUUAAUAAUUCAGAUAUGGUUUUGGCUAAUUUUAGUCGAAUCCCAUAGAACAAAUGCUCGAAGACGAAAUCUGUCUUAUUCGGGCCGUCGUUUCUCGCCCCGAUCCCAAACUUUGGAUAUAAAUAACGGCGCAAACUCAUCUAAUUGCAAAGCAUUCGCUAAAUCAAAACCAUGUCAUCCUUACUGUCUAUAUCGUAUGCAUUGCUAAAAAAAAUUAGAACCGAGCUGAGUAUUCAUAACUAAUCUGUUUCCCUAUUCAGACUGCGGAUAAAAUUAUCUGCUCUAAAUUAAAUUAUGCGCAGUCUGUACUUAUUGACGGAUAUCUUUUGUUUUGCCCGGUUUACAUCUCGCACCGAUUUAAUCAGAGAAUUAAAUUAUCUUUAUGUUCUCGUGUAAAGAAAAAUAAAAAAAUUCAGCCGUAGCCUCAUCCAUUACGCGUCAUCGUUCCUAUCUUCUUCCUUCCCAGAUUUUUCCGCCGCCGUUCCCUGUUGAAUUCUCUGCCGUCGUCCUUAGCAACGGCAGAUUUUUCCUGGCUCGCCGGUGCUUAUCCCCGCAGCCGCCCUCGCCGGAUUUUUCUCAGCCGAGCUCGUCUUCUACGGCGCCGCCCCUGGGAGUCUUCAAAUAUCAGUCGUGCUUUGCUUCUUCUCCGUGGCCGGCGUCCUCUACCCCAUCCAUGGCCAGAGCUUCCUGUCCGACGCCCAGCCGAAGCCGCCCAGCCGAAGUCUCUUUCCUGGCCGCACGCCCAGCCCGCUCUCCUUCCUCUCAGUUCCGUGCUCUGCUCGGCCGGAUUUCCAUGGCGCGCGUCCAGCUUCUGGCGCCUUGCUCUCUCUCUAUUUCUCCUGCCGUGAGCCCGGUGCCCAGCCCCAACUCCCUGCCGAGUGCUCUCUGCGCGCGUCUUGCUCGCUACUCGCCCAGCUCUCUGUUCGCCGGCGUCCUCUGCUUACUCGUCCCCAGCUCGUCCGACCACUGCGCGUCGCGGAGCUUCGUUUCUCUGGUCGUCGUAUCCUCUCGGCCUCCUGCUCGACGGGCUUAGCUUCGAGCUCGCCCAACUCGGCCGUCCUCCAAGUUUCGCCCAGCCCAGUCGCGCGUCUGCUCUGCUCGUCGACACGCGUUCCUCUCUCCGCCUGCCGCGUCCGGCCGAACGUCCCUGCAUCGCGGCUUCUCAGCUCGCCGCGUUCUCUUGGGUCUCUGUGCCGCGCUCUGGUUCGGUUUUUGGCUCGUCGCGCGCGUUCCGUUCUCCCUGUGUGCGCAGCCGCGAACUCCCCUGCCUCCCAUGGCCAGCAUAUGGCUUCGUGUUCGCCGGAGCUCCGUGCGUGUUCAGCCUCAAGUUUAUGUGCGCGCGCACCACUGUUCCGUGCGCCGAGUUCCUCGCUGCCACAGUUAUCCGGUGUUUGGCCCGCGCCGAUUCGCGUUUGCUCAUAUCGCCAUCGUCGUGUUGUCGCUGGUGAUAGCUUCCGUGCGCGUCAAACUCCCGCGUCGAGUCUUUUAUCUGCUCACUGCGCGCCCUCUCGGCUCGCUUGGCCUUAAUUCUCAUCACAUCAUCGAUUCUGCCGGUUAGCGUCGUUCGUUGUCGCGUCGCGUGUCUAGCUCUAUAUAUGUCACCCUCCUGUGUCAUCGUCGUUCUGCGCGUCAGCAAGAAAUCUCAAGAGUCGGGUGAAGACGGAGCCAGCAGCGUGGUAUUCACCAAGUGCGUGACAAAAGCUCGGACAUCCUGCACGACUCAAGUUCGGUUCGUCAAAAGUAUUCAGUCGAGGAAAAGAUCUUCAACAAUUGAUUACCGAAGAAAAGAAGGCCCCUGGAUGACGUCAACCGGAACCCGUAGUCGUGCUUCCGACUAUCUCGUCGAAUUAGUCAUGGUAAGUUGAUUCGUAUUCCCGUUAACUAGGUCUAUAAAUAGAGUAAAUAGAAUUAUUGGUCUCAAUGAAUGUUAUUAAUUUAGCAAGCGUAUAUUGUGAUGAUUGAUUUAGAUAAAUCGGUAAAUCAAGUAAUUAAGAUACAUAGUUUAAAGAGUUAAUAAAAAGCUAGGAAUAAAAAUGUAAUUUCUAGUAUAAUAUGUCCAUUUGAUUAAUGGAGGUAGUCGAUGCCCUGCGGUGAUAUCCAUGGUGCUUAAUGCUUGGUUUUAAAGUGUUUCAUUCUUCUAGUGUAGAUUAUUUAUAUUAUACUCGUUACACUCGUGCUCAUACAUGUGCAUCGUGCAUCUCAUGAGGUACGAUAAAUAAUCGCGUGAUGUGGAAGACAAGCCAAGUCGACCCCAAGCGCGGGCUAACCCGCAGGAUGAUGCAGAUGGAUAACCCGAUCAAGUACCAAGACAAAGGCUGCUCGUCAAGCGAACGUCGUCUAACAACACUAACCUAGUGUUACUCAGGCAAGCCCCGGUGCAUGCAGCCCCUUCCUUGUGUUUUUAAAUAAUUUUUGCACACUUUAAGUCUAGUGAAAUGUGCAUUAGGUUUAUAGAAGUUGCUUGGAACCCUUUGAUGCAUUGCCUUCCUUGAUAUACAUACCUUUAUAGAUACUUCUAAUGAAGUAUCAAAAUAUGAUUUACAAAAUUGCUUAGCCUUGCUAGAGGUAAAUCUUGUGGAUAGAGCUUGUCCUUUGCAUUGAUGCCUAGCUCAGGGGUUAUCCUGAGGAAGGAUGGCUUCUACCUGCAAGAAUAUUUUCAUUUGGAGCAAUGGUGGGAUCUUACUACAAAGUUCCCUGUGAUGCUCUUUUCAUCCUAAGGAACAGAAACAAUCCUAAGGAUGGAAGUACGUAAAUUGAGACUUGGGGUAGGAACAGGUGAUGUUCUACCCAGGUUGAUUAAGGAUUGAUGCGUAUGUAGGUGUGCUGACCGAGGACCCUUUAACUGGUCACAUGCCUCGUCAUGGGUAAGCCUUGCCUCGGGCAGACUAAGGCCAGAAUAAGAUAACACGAAAUGGGCGUGGAGCGGUGGCGAGAGUAGCGUGUACCCUCCGUGGCAAGAGGCUGGACGGUGGUGUAUCUGUGCUCUCGGUUUGCGUGAACCUGAUCUGGUCUUAAGAACCCCGGUGGCGGGUUGACAUAUGCAAGGGUUAAGUGCUACAUAUGUCGUGUGAUUGGAGAUCCUCAGCUGAGUAUAAUCGAUUCGGAUCGCCGUACCUUCGCGGUUAUGAAGACUUGGUCACUUGUCUACAACCUAAGUCAGGAUGUGAACAUUAUGAAUAAAAAGGAUGUUGCAUUGAUGAGAUGAUGAAAUUAGACUAGAUGCAAACAGAGUCUAUUGAUAUAUAAUCUGGCGUUAAAAUAUUGAAAGUAAGGACUCACUUUAGUAAGCUAUUUCUGCAAAAGUAUAUUUUGAUGUUUGCUAAAGCCUCUCCUUGACUCCUAUUUAUCCAGCAUACCCUUGAGAGUCUUUUCCUUAGUCGGGUAAGACUUGCUGAGUAAUUCCAUACUCAGGGUUUUAUUCCCUGUUGUUUUUCAGGAUAUAACUUUGUGCUGCUGUGAUGGUGUUAAGUGCCGGUGGGCUCGGCCUUCUUAUAAGUCUAAGUAACCCUUCUAUACUUCUUAUUGAGGAUGAUCCCUUGAGCUAGCAUAUAUUUCAAACUUAUACUUUUGUAACCACUCCGAUAAACUAAUAUAAAAUUUUUGUAACUUGUAAAAUUUGGUAGUAAGAUUUCCGCUGCAAUAAUAUUGGUGUGUGUGUGAUUUGUGUUACUUAAUCCCGCGGUUCUGGUUGUAAGUGGUUUAUCCGAUGUCCUUAGGGCAAUCGGACGGAUCCUGUUAAGUUAUCUGGUGCACAUGCAUAGCAGUCUGAGGUCUUUGAGACAAGGACAGGUGCAUGUGGGCCCAAUAACUUGGGAGGUUCUGCCACAUUAUGAGAUGUCCUUAGAAUGCGCCAAGAAGUUAAAGGAUAGCUUUGCUAAGGUUGGGGCAUAUUCUUCUGAGCAAAAAUUCAUCUGUGGCGACCCUGAUGGAGUUGUCCAGUGGAUCAGCGGAGAGGCCGAAGUGUUUGACGAAAUUUUAAAUGAUCGAGGAGAUUUCUGUGCCUUCGCUGGUGCACAAGGGACCACGACGAUCUUAGAUAAAGCUGGUUGCGACCAUGCCAAGGCUGUAGUUCGGCCAUGAUUUGUUUUCUCAGCGGAGGAUAUUAAAACCCUUCGGUCGAAGCUUCUGCGCUAGGCGGGAAAUUUUACUCUGAGGUGUGGAUGAAGGGUGGUCGUGAGAUAUCUGAUGAAGCUAUUAAGAAGAUUGCAAACGGAUCUCAUGAUGCUCAAGAAGAAGCCAAACAAGCUGAAGAAGCUGCUGAGCGUGCAAGGCUUAUAGGUACCCCUACUGAGGUUUAGCUUCGAAAUUCGUUUUCAGCUUCAGAAUUAAUAAAUAUUAUCUUAUGAUGUAGCUGAACUUUCACCCCACAACCCCGAAGUUGACCCGGUCUUGAAGGAAGCAUUAGAUAUUAUUAAAAUUGCUAAUGAAGCUGUUGACGAAGCUAUCAAGAGACUGCUGAAUGAAGCCGCUGAGAAAGUGUUGAAAGAAGAUUAAAACUUUGUAUAUUUAAGAGUUUAAUGUUUGUAUAUGACCUUCGUCUCUUGUAAGAACCAAACAUCAAGUAUUUGUAUGUGUGUUAAUGUAAUAUAUUUCUUUGUGAUGCAUGAAACCUUUGUAUGUACUGUUUUUGAGCCGCUCGUGAAAAAACACAUUCCCUUCUUUUUAUGCUUCACGAAGAAAAGAUUCCCUUCUGUCUAUUCAAUACUGGGUAUUGUGCUACGGUUGCUGUGUAGUAAUACUGCUGACGAAGCUUCUCCUCCUGUGUGAAAAUAUAUCUACCGAAGGCAUAUCUUAUGUAUAGUAUGUUCAAUUUUUCCUUGUUUCUCCACGACUCUUUACUGAUGCAAAAUGAUGUAUGAUGCGAUGUUGUGCGCUAUGAUAUGAUGGUAUGAUGCAAAAUGUUAUUUGUGUCGAAGGUAAAAACCCACACGAAUACACACCCAGAGUCUACAUCCCCUUGAGAACGACUUUGGAGUCCCUUCACCUUUUACUUAGGUGGUAUUUCAGCUCUGCAUUCCCUUAGGAACGACUUUGGAGGUAAGCUCUGCAUCCCCUUAGGAACGACUUUGGAGCUUCUUCACCUUUUACUUAGGUGGCAUUUAAGCUCUACAUCCCCUUAGGAACGACUUUGGAGCUUCUUCACCUUUGACUUAGGUGAAAUUUAAGCUUUGCAUUCCCUUAGGAACGACUUUGGAGCUUUGUGACUUACUCUGCAUUCCUUUAGGAAUGACUUUGGAGGUUUGUGACCCGCUCUUGUUACACUCAAUGGUGUAAUCAUAGUCUUAUUACAUUGGACUGAAGGUUAAACCUUCUUGUAUUGUCUUUUUAGAGGAAAAUGUAAAGACAAAAAUAAGUAAAAAUACAUUGGAUUAAAACACUCUUUUUGUGGAAGCGUUGUGCCGCCUUCAGUAGAUAUGCCUCGACUCGGGCAUAGUGCUAUUGACUGUGUGAGCUUCGGACUCCUCCUGAAGAUCACGCUGUUGCUGAACUUGACGAUGCCCUUCUGGCUAUUGAUUGUGACUCAGGGUAGGCCCAAGUGGUGGUGGUGGUGGCAACUGAGCCCAGGAAGCUUGGGAAUGACUUGCUGAAGCAACAGAUGCCGUAGGCUAUUGGUUGCCCACAUACUACGGGAUAUACGGAGAGUAACAUGAAGCAUUAUGCAGGACCUGCUUCGGCUGGUUCUGUCGUGCUUCGGCUUCAGCGAUUUCCUUCUGCUUCUGGAUCGUGACGACACGUGUCACAACCCAACCAAGUUAUCGGGCCCACGUACACCAAUCCUUGCCCUCAAGGCCUCGGAUAGAUAUGUAAGUGGAUCAGAUAACUUACUCGAGUUGCCGAGUUUCGAUGAACUCGUUCCUUUCCAAGGACCAUUCACGCAAAGUUGCAAAUAUUACAAUAACCAAUCCAGAACAUAGAGUUUAAAAAAAACAGGAGUUGAGCGGAAGUCUUUACAAUAAGAUAAUAUACAUUAACAAGCUAAUAAGUUUACAAACCACAAAGUAUUUAUUAUUACAUGCCCGAGGUAGAGUUAAAGUGCUAACUUAUUACAUCAACUGGGAAGAAACCAUCUUCCCGCAGCACCCACAUAAUGUACACAAGUAAAAGUCACCAUUAUGAGUUUAACAAAACUCAUACGUGUUGAUAGUUUCUCCUGCAACAACAAUGGGAUAAACCCUGAGUAUGGAAAUACUCAGCAAGACUGACCCGACUAAAGAAAAAGACUCUCAAGGAUAUGCUAGUUGUUGGGAAUCAAGGUAAGGCUUACCAAAUUUCAAAGACUCAGUUUUGCAGAAAAGCUUACUAGUAGUGGAUCCUUAGGCCAAACUUUUACUUCACAAGUUAAGUACUUUUCCUGAAUCUAGAUUUGCCUAAUCUAGAGCAUUCACUUGUCCUACACUAGCUUCAUUUUAACAGCUUUAGUUUCACUUGUUAUCUACGAUGAGGGUCGAAGAUCCAGUCUUCAUAUCCGAGAAGUUCGGCGAUCCGAAUCGAUUAAUACCCAGCUGGGGAUCUCCAACCACACGACAUAUGUAGCACUUAACCCUUGCAUAUGUCAACUCGCCACCGGGUUUCUCAAGACCAGAACGGGUUCACGCGACCCGAGAGCACAGUACUCCACCGUCCAGCCGUUGGCCUGGUUGGUACACGUUACUCUCGCCAUGGUGCCCGCCAUGUUUCCGAGAGUACAGCACCCCACCUUCCAGUCUCUUGCCACGGAGGGUACAAGCUACUCUCGCCAUCUCUCCACUCCCAGUGCGUGCGAGCUGUUCUGGUAUUGGUCCGACCGAGGCAAAGCUUACCCAUGAUGAGGCAUGUGGCCAGUUAAAAGGUCCUAAAUCAGCAGGCCAACAAUCGGAACGGUCCUUAAGCGACACAGACGGGCGACCUUUCCUGCUCAACGUCUGGUCUCAUAUUAAGUUAUUUCUGAAAACCUGGUACCUGUCAGAGGUACCCUACUGAAAUGAUGAAGUCAUCAAGGCCUUUGAUACCUUCAUCACUCCAGACUCUUUUCUUUGUAAAAACAUGAUUCAUAGAUCAAAACAUUUUGUUCUUAGUCUAUGAGCAUACUAAGCACAUCUAGCUUUUUAAAACAGGUAUCAAGGAUGGUAAUCAAUAGUUCAAGGAAGUUAUGCAACAAAGGUUUAAUCAUUCAACUCCUACCACCUAAUGCAUCAUAUAAGUGAUAAAAGUUUAAAAACAGCAAGGAGGUGGCAAAUGCACCGGGGCUUGCCUUGGUGAGGAGGAGAGUCGGGCUCUUCUACCAGGAUAUUACAGCUAGCAGCAAAUCCAAAUGGGACACCUUCUGGAGGACCUUCACUGACAACCUCAGUUGGAGAAGGUUCCGAUGGAGGAACAGGCUCCCCUUCCACUUCCACUUCAAAUUCUUCUUCAAGGUGCUCUACAAGUCAAUUCGAAGUACAUGAAUGCUUAUGUAAUGAUAUGCUAUGCAAACUCUCGCUUGGGGAGAGGUAGAAAAGUUUAAAUACUUUUAACUAAGCAUACAGUGAUUAUACACAUGGUUCUAGGUUUCUUAAUAGUGGCCCAAACUUAUCAAAUUAAACUUACUUCCAACAAUUAGAGAACUAUUCAAGUUCGAGUUGGCCAAUUUAUUGUUUAACACUAGGUAUGACUCAGGUUUAAUUUAACCCUAAAUUAGUAUCAAAGGUUAAGGUUCUAAAUACAUAUACCUAGCUAGUUUGUGGUUCUCUAGGUAACUCAACACUAAACAGGCUAAGAUUUUUUACUAGGAGCUAUUCUAAAGGUAUAUAAUUUUCUCAUAAAUUUUUAUGAUUUUUGGACCUAUGGUUUAUUCGCAACUGGGUGCACUGCUAGUCUCUAAUCGAACCUCUGAUCAGCGGCUAUGGAAAUCCAAUACCGACGACCAGGCUCCCAAUCAUCACCACCCCAAGUCAGAGGUUGGUCGACUACAGCCCUAAGCAAUCCGGUAAUAAUAGCUUUAAACCCAAACUCCAUUUCACCCUGUGAUGGCGAACACCGACAUGGUCACUGGCAUUAACCCGACGUUCCGGACACUACCUCGUGUUAGAGUUCAAACAACUUGUGCGAUGAAUAACAUGGCCCAUAAAGGAACAACGAACGAGCACAAACUAAGCAGUAAUCACCUUGAGCAGUUCUGACCGCGAGGGAGAGGGAAAUGUGAGCAGGCGUGGCGACGACAAUCGUAACAGCGGCAGUCAGCGGACAAGGAGGUGGGCGAUAGGGUGUGCUGCUAGUGUAAAGCGCCGGCUUGUGACGGGCGAGCAGGUGGGGGACUCGAACACGAGGACCCAGGAAGCUUUUCACUGGGCGUAGGGGAAUAUCGAAAUGGCAAGAGGAGGAAAAAUCAUGCAGUUGCGUUUGAGCUUAUCACGGUAGGAAAAAGCCUUGACGCAUAGUGCCAGCUCCUGGUUUACAAAAGACACGCGGCUGCCAUAGGAUGGUGCUCGGCCAGGCGGGAUUAUGGAUAGGCGGUAAUUCCUCCUUUUUUUUACCGACAUCGAUCAAUCUGGAAACAGCAAAGAGGCUCGGCCGACGUACACAGCCUGAGUAUGCCACCCUCACUGCCCAAAUAGAUCAUAGCUAGCCAGCACAUUUACACCAGAAGAUUUAUUCAUUCGUGCGAUGUCCCUUGUUUUUAUUAAAUAGGCCAAACUGAAUGGCGUAAAUGGAGCACAGCAGAGACAUGGAUCUCUCUGCACCCCAAACCUGAAUUUUAAAUUGCAUUCAAAGUGCUUGUAUAAAAUCUGAACCUGAGACUUCCAAUCAGAUUUUCUCUCAUUUUCUUACGCUAGUUUGAUACAGUUCUUUACUAGGAGUUGUUCUCCUAUAAUCACUCUCCCACUUUGCUUUAAAAGAUAUCAGCUAAAACUCAAUAAACCUCAGGUUAGAGAGCUCCAAAGUUUGGGCAAUACCACUGAACUGCACCCGUCAGCUAACCAAAUUAAAUUCAGCACACCUCUAUCUAACCAAGUGACUUGGAAUAACCUUUUCUCCGAAUUUAAAAUGAAGACUGGGAGAUCCUUCUUCAUGAGAAAUGUCCUCCUACAAUGGAUCUUCAGGUUUUAUGUAAUGAUUAUCCCCCAAAAGUCCAAGAUUGAAGAAUUUAAUGGUUCCAAGGUCAAGAGGAUUACAUAGUUUUUCUGAAAAUUCAGCACAAUAGAAUCACGUUUCAGGUUCUGAAACUGCACUUGGCACCAAACUAAAAUUCCCAACAUUAACCCCUUUGAUCCUCACGAUCCCAAGUAAUACAUGCCAACCUUAGUUAAUAACAUUUGCUCACCAAACAAAGCUUUACAAGUUUGCUAUAACAGCCCAAGACUAAAAACUCGUGGAUCAAGGGUUAUAGUGCUCCAAUGUUGAGUCUUGCGCUGCAAAUUCAGAUCUGAUCAGUUUUCAGUAUCUGUAACUCCGAGGGCCUGACAGACCAUCCCUCUAUUUCUCAAAUUUCUCCACACAAACAGAGCUACCUCCCCACAUCACACUUACUCACAAAAUAUUGGUCUUCAACUUUGCUGUAAACUUAUAGGAUCAAUACUGCACAGAUCUCCAUUUACGCUACUCCAAAGUGAGGCACAUCUCAUAGGAGCCAUAAUUUCAGUUAGCUGAAAUAAACUCUGAACGCAAAGACUGACAGGAUGACUUUCAGACAGCUUUCCCUUUACUUUUUGUGUUGGAUCAAACCCAACUCACUUAAAGGAAUUUGUUCAUGUAUAGAUGAUCUCCAUUUUUAUUAUAAAGAUCUCAGCUCCAAACUGCCUAGAAAAGACACCAUACAGCUCCAAAGUGGAGCCAAAUUACUGAAAUUCAGACCAGUACACUUUCCCCAUCUGAAGUUGUAGAAGUCUGACAGCCUAUCUGUAGGCGCCAUUUUCUGCUAUUUUUGUGUAGAACCAAACCAGCCUCCCUUAAGCAAACUUGUGCCCUGAUAGGUAAUCUACAAUUUCUCUAUAGCAAAUAUGGCCCAAUACUCCACUAAUCAUCCACAAAAGGGCCCCAAUGUCAGACCAAUUAUACACAUUUCUAAAAUCUGAACUGCACUAAGUCUGAAAUUUCAGAUUUGAGGAUAGGACCUUUGGGCUAAGUUUUUCCACCAGUUUUAUACAGCAUUAGUGGCAUGACCCUUAAUUAAAUUUAUACACCAAUAUGUGGUCUUGCACUUUAUUAUAAUACUCCAAGUCUAGAAUGGUAUAAAUUUGCCACUAAUAGACUUCCAAAGUGGUCUCUAAACAUAAAAGCUUCAGUUCUAGGAAUCACACUAAACCUGAAAUCCAGAUUCUGAAAUCCCACCUCUUUCCUAUAAGACCUGAAAAUCCAUACACAUGAAAGCUAUUUGGUAUGGAAAACUCUAUAAGUUUGAUAAUUUGACUUUGGACAAAAUAUGACUAAAUUCAAAUUUCAUUAUUUGGGAUUACAUAUGAGGGUUUUCUCUAAACUUCCUACUCACUACUACUUGCAUUCAAAGUUUUCUUAAACCUAGUAAAGGCACUCUAGAGUCAUUAAAAUCACAGAUAUGCUAAUGCACAUGAUGUUAUGCCAGAUUUCAGUUUUAGUAACACCAGGGGUGUUACAACACGUCCUUGUGGUGUGUCCCUUGUCCUCACCACAGAAUAGGUAGAACAGUUUUUUGGGUUGAUUACCAUACCUUCCCCCAAAGCUUCUCCCCCUCUGCCUCUCGGGGCUAGUAGGAAGCUUGUUGCGUUCCCGAAGAUUGCUAGUUGUGCUGGCUGCUCUGAGUAUGGUUGGUCCUGUCAUCAUUUGUAUUGGGAUUGUGGAUUGUUCUAACGUGCCUAGGGUGGACUCUUCCUCUAAAGCCCCUAGUCAUCUCAGAAUACCUAUAUGCUUCGUCCCUUUUUUGUCGAAAAUCAUUGUCAGCUCGGAUGUAUUCAUCCAUCUUCUGGAGAAGCUUCUCUAAUGUCUGUGGUGGCUUUCUUGCAAAAUAUUAUGUUGUGGGUCCUGGUCGGAGCCGCUUGACCAUGGCCUCAAUGACAAUCUCAUUGGGCACUGUAGUCACUUGAGCUCUCAGUCGCAAGAACCAUCGGACGUACACUUGCAGGUACUCCUCAUGGUCCUGUGUGCAUUGGAACAGAGCUUGGGCAGUGACUGGCUUCGUCUGGAAGCUGGUGACUAGCAUUGUCCUUCAGCUUCUGCCACGACAUAAUUGUCCCCAGCCGAAGAGAAGAAUACCAUGUCUGAGCCACACUUCUAACUGCCAUGACGAAGGACUUCGCCAUGACGGCAGUGUUGCCCCCAUACGAGGAUAUUGUUGCCUCGUAGCUCAUCAGGAACUGCUUUGGAUCUGAAUGCCCAUCAUACAUGGGGAGCUGAGGUGGCUUGUAAGAUGGUGGCCAUGGGGUAGCCUGCAACUCUGCUGCCAAAGGACAAGCAUCAUCGAAAGCAAAGUUACCAUGUUGAAAAUCGUUGUACCAUUCAUCUUCAUUGAUUGGGCUCUCUUAAUGAAGCUCCUUGUGUUGAAGCCUUCGGUCUUGGUCAUCCUGAGUGAGAUGACGCAUUUCCUCGGCUACUUCGUCAAUCUUCCUCUAAAGGUCGGCUAGUCGAAGCAUUCCUUUGUACUUGCUGGUGAAUGGCUUCUAGAUCCCUAAUCUCCUGAUCCAACUCCUCCUCCUGAGGUGUUGGGCUGGUAGCCUUUCUCUUCUGGCUCCUAGCUUCUCGCAGGGAGUGUUUCUUGGUUUGUGUCCAGUGGUUGCAGAACAGCCCUUGUCACUGUUGUCUUCUUCGGCGGCAUGGUGAAGCUGAAUGUUUGCCGAAGGUGGUCGUUUGAGUUCACCGGAGGUGGGCACCAAUGUUGGUCACUUGUUCUCAAAUGAUGUGAAUCAAGAACAAGGCAACACAAAUGUUAAAGAUUAUGGACCUUCGUCUUUCAAAGCAUUAUCUUCACAUGGGCAUAAUGCUCAUUAGACGAAGGUCAAGAAGGACAUACCUUCAUCAUUUAACAUGCGAAUAAGAAUGCAUAAAGAUGAAGGUAGUAACUGCAUCUUACUAAUCCAUUCAUGUUGGGGACUUGUUCUCAAGUGCUAUGAAUUAAGAACAAGGCAACAUAAAAUGUUAAAUGUUAACGUCCUUCGUCCAUGAAGCAUUAUUCCCUUGAGGAUAAUGGGCCUUGGACGAAGGUUGAUGAGAGUAAAAUUACGAAGCUUAAGACUUCGUAAUUAAAUUUCAAUACAUAUUGUGAGAUAAUAUAAAAUAAAAGGUAUAAAGAAGGUAAAUAGAUCAUGGACGAGUUAUGUUAUAUUUACUUAAGAUAUUGAAUCAUAGAAUACAAUAAUACCUCUGCCUUGGCAAAGGUUGGAUUCCGAAAGAUGCGAUUCCAAUUACCAGAAUGUGUGAACAGUAAAGGAAUACUGUUCACUAUUUAUAGGCACAUGACGCAGCCUGUGAGAAAUUACAAGUAUGCCCCUUAUGAAAGCUUACAACAUUGACUCAGACCUUUAUGGACUAAAAGGUCAUUCUAUCUUUAAGUCGGUUUGUAAUACCGAAGCUUCACGAAGACGAACCUUCGGCCAUCUUAUACAAACAGCUUCAGCCGAAGACCGCUUCUUCCUGUAAGACCUUCGGCGACGAAGCAUAGGCCCAACAGUAGCCCCUUUCGCGGUGCUAGAUCGUUUUUCGUAACGAGCUUGAUCCGUGAAAAAAAGUCUCUUAGGCUUCGGGGAGCCGAAGGUCCAAAAAACACCUUCCCUGAGCUCGUUGUCGAGAAACGAUUUAAUUUCCCAGCGCGUAGCGGUCCCACGUUGCAGAGUUACUGUUUGGUCUCUGCGGUCCACCGCACAGCGAGUGCAAGUGGGUUUCCGCCUGGUGUAAAAAUCCUGGCGCUUCGCCUUCUUUCCUGCAGUACUAUAUAAACAGAUGAGUAGGUGUGAAGUUACCACAGCAUUCAUUGCUAUUUGCACUGUUCUGCUGCCAAAAGUUUUAACCAUCGCCGAAGCUUGUCUGUCGGAAUCAAACGAAGCUCCAGUUUGAGGCCUGCUUCGUCAGAAAAAACUUCGGAAGAAGAAAGUGUUAAAUUUCCACAUAUUCAUAAUUAAAUGGCCAGAGUGCGUUCUACCGCCAGGGUUGAGCGUGAGGGGGGCGAAACUGAAGCUGCGGAGACUGUUCCCAUCUCCGAAGCCAUGCAACGAUCCGGGCUGGUGACUUCGGAAAAGAUCCCUAGUGAUGAUGCAGAACAAGCAGAACAAGCAAUCGCUGAAGUAGAAGAAGAAGAUAUUGAGGAAACUGAUCCCGAAGAUGAUUAUCGCAUUGCCAUGCCCAGCAAGCCCAGCCACCUGGACUUCGGGAAAUCUACUGUUUCGAAGGCUGAUUUGUCCAAGAUGGUAAAGUCAGGCUUUUUUACUGAAGACCAGAAGAAGCUAUUACGCUUCGGGGGAGAAGAGACUACCCCAAAGCCGGAGAAGGAUGAAAUUGUUAUUUUCAAGAGCUUCCUAAAGGCUGGAUUAAGAUUCCCCCUACAUGGGAUUAUUGCAGAGGUACUGAAAAGGUUCGGUAUCUAUUUUCACCAGCUGACCCCUAACGCUAUCGUUAGGCUUAGUGUUUAUAUCUGGGCACUCCGAAGCCAAGCAGUGGAACCGUUUGCGGACAGCUUUUGCCGAGUUCACGAACUGCACUAUCAGACGAAGGCUAGAAAGGAUGGAUUACAUGACAAUUUUGGUUGCUAUAAUUUUGCUUAUCGAAAAACUACGAAGUUUCCUGUGAUCAGCUACCGAAGCAAAUGGGCAGCAGGGUGGAAAUCGGAGUGGUUCUAUGUCAAGGUUGAUGACGAUAAGGAAAAGCUUGUGCAAAGUCCACUUGAACUAAUCUUCGGAGAAACCCGCCCCCACUGCAACAUGACACCAGAGGGUCCAACUCAAAAAGCAAUGUAUGAAUUCAAAAUAAUUGCAGAGCACAUCAGUACAAGGGACCUGGUCCAGGAGUUUUUGGCUUUCAAGGUUUUUCCUAGUGUAAAAGAGUGGGAAAUGCCGAAGCUGAAAGGGGAGAAAAAAGAAGGUGAACUCGUGCGCUUACCUUACUACUUCAAGUUUAAGAAAUACUUUAAAACACCUUGCCAAGAGUGGCUGGAUACAAUUGAAGUGAUGUGCAAUGAAAUACUUGGCAAUUAUUCUAAAAAAGAAGAUCAGUUGAUGACCGCAGCCUUCGGCACCCGUCCGAAGCGAAGACUAAACCGAGUGUUGGACGCCCUGGGUUUCGAAUACCCUGAUUAUGUAAAUUUGAACAAAGGUGCCGGAGGCCAAAAAAGGAAAAGGAUAACUGAAGCCUUAAAUGAAGAUGAAAAAGAAUUAUCAAAGAAGAAAAUUCCGAAGAGGAAGAAAGCGCCUUCUCCGAAGCGUAAAAUAUCCGACGAAGAAGAAACCCCCGCAUCACCCUCUGCCGCUGAUGUUGAGGAAAUUCUGAAGGUAAUGACUGAAUCCUUACCUGCGAAGCUAAGUCCACUGGGGCCCCAUCUGACAAAGUUUUUUCAGAAGGACAAGGAGCCCGAAAAAUCGAAGAAAAUAAUUAAAGCAAAGAGACAAAGAAUUAUCACUGUGACAGAAGUAAUUGACAAGACACCGCCAAGAGCUUCAGCUCAGAAAGCACCAGCGACUGCGGAAAGGACAGAUAUUGAAAUUGCACCUUCGGAGGUCGCAGCUGCCGAAGUUGCCUCAACUGAAGAUCUGAACCUGGAGAGCACAAUUGAACACAUUGACAAAAUACUGCUAGACAUGGCUGCAGAAGAAGCUACUACCGCCGCCGAAGAGGCCGCGACCGCAGCGUCGGAGAAAGAGAAAGAAAUUGCUGAUGAAGCUUCAGAAAACGAAGCCUUCAUGUUCCAGAAUUUAGUUGGGGAAAAACUAUCAAAAUCUGAGAUAGAAGAGCUUAGAGAGUAUGCCAAAUCCUGCGGAUACAAACCUGGAGCACUCCUCUUCGGAGGCGUUGAUGAUGAAAAAUUAGAUUGUAUUCGAGAUCAAACCGGAGCCAAAGUUAUCGGUACUCUGUCCAAGAGUAUUGGCUUUCCGAAGCUAGAAACAGACAUCAGCCGCUACCGACGACAACAUAACGUUGGUAGUUUAUUUUAUUCCAACUUCAAGGUGAACUACUUUUCCCUUAACUUUUAUUGUUUCUAAUGAUGAAAACAUGUCUGACGAAGGUUGUUUUCGUGCAGAGCAUGCUGUUGAGCAAAGCCUUGCAAAUGCAGCAAGAUUUUGAAGAUAAGAAGCACGAAGUUAUAAUUGAAAAUUUGGAAAGCAGAAUAAAGGAGCAAUCAGAUGCUUUCGAGAAAAAGAACUUUGAGCUCCAGGCAACCGAAGGUUUAUUGGCGGAAGCUGAAGCAAAAAUAACAGAACUGAACACGAAGCUUCUCCGCCAGUCUGAGCAGUUCGAACAAGAAAAACAAGAUCUUAAUGCAAAACUUGAAGCCGAAGCUCAACAAAAUUCAGAUUUGAGAAAACUAUUGACGAGCCUUCAAGAAAAAUGUUUGGAAUUUAGCAACAAAUGCAUUCAACGAUUAAGAAAGAUUUUUCACUCAGUUGGAGCCAGCAGUGAAAAAUUCACCCCCUCAGCUGAAGAUCUACCGAAAACCUUCGAACAUAUUGAGGGUGAGAUUGACGAGCUCGACGAAGUCAUAGCUGGGCACGGUGACUUCUGUGCCUGGGUGGCUUCUCGGGGCACUGCUGUAGCUUUCCUGAAAGCUGGUUGCGAUCAUGGAAAGAUUGUCAAUAGGCCAAAUUUCACUUUAUCACCAUCAAUCCUAGAUGACAUUCCUGAUCUCGCUCGAAGUAUCUCUAAUAGAUUUGUAAAAAUGAUAUGGACAAAAGGUGGGUGAGAAAAGGCUGGAGACGAAGCUCGUAGCCACCUUGAACCAGUAAGAAACCAUACCUUGUGCUUACCUUUUCCUGCAAGCUCGAUUUUGACUUACAACGACAUUAUUCAUGUAGGAUGACGAAGCCGAAGCCGAUGAUUAAAAAUGACGCCGAAGUUGAAGCUCCUUGGAGAUUAGAUAGUAGACUGUAGACAGUACUUGAGAAACUUUUGAGAUAACUUUUGUAAAUGUAACUAAAAUUUGUCUUUGAUGAAUUCUGUUCAUACCUUGUGAUAUAUCCUUAUCCUUCCAUUGAUGUAUGAGAAAUGCUUUGAUGUGAACGAAAUUUUUUCUUUUUUGAGCCGAAGGCGAAAAAAAACACCUUCCCUUCUUUUCGUACACAGCGAAGCAUAGAAAACAACAUUUUCCUCCUUUCUGAAGCUCCCCUUUUUGUACACGAAGCUCUUUCUUUCCCCCUUUUUUUCUUUUUGCCGAAGCAAUCAUUUAUGCCAUGAGGAUGAUUAUCCUACAUAUGCCUGGAUGAAUGUUUAUGAAUGCAAAUGCUAUGAUGUAAUGUGAUGUGCAAAUGAAUGGCCAAACACGUAUCCGAAGCCAUACUCAUAGCCAUUAUUUUCUUAAAAACAAUCACACCUCAGCUCUGCAUUCCCUUAGGAACGACUUUGGAGCUUCUUCGCCUUUACUUUUGGCGGAAUCAGCGUUGACUUUUCGCUGUAAGCUCUGCAUUCCUUUAGGAACGACUUUGGAGCUUCUUCGCCUUUACUUUUGGCGGAAUCAGCGUUGACUUUUCGCUGUAAGCUCUGCAUUCCCUUAGGAACGACUUUGGAGCUUCUUCGCUUUUUACUUUUUGGCACUCGAUGGUGCACUCCCAGCUUUUACAUUUACAUUCCUUGGGGGAUUUUGCUCUUAUAGAACUAAAAAAGGAAAUUACAUGUGAUGGCCCCAUUAAAAACCUUUCUCCCCCUUUAGAAAGGAAAAGGGUGCCAUGAGAAAGAAAAAACAUAAAAAAUUACAUCAAGUUACACAUAAUAUCGCCGAAGCUCAUCCGCAUUCCAAGAUCUAGGAAUGUCGUUGCCGUCCAUAUCCUUCAAUCUGUAUGAACCGGGUCUUGACGAAGAUGCUACUAAGAAAGGUCCGUCCCAUUUCAACUGCAGCUUGCCCACUGUUUCUGGGUUGGCCACUCUCCGAAGCACCAAGUGUCCUGGCUCAAUAUUUUUUAGCCGAACCUUUCUAUCUCGCCAUUUGAUUGUUUCGGCUUGAUAUUUAUUGAUGUUCUCCACGGCUUGCAGCCUGAUCCCUUCUAAAGCAUCUUUUUCUACAGAAUAAGCAGCUUCGGAAUCUGAUUCUGCCGAAGCUACUACCCUUAUUGAUCCGGUUUUAGCUUCCUCCGGAGUUAUUGCUUCGUCACCGAAUAACAACUUGAAUGGAGUAAAGCCUGUAGACCUUGAUGUUGUUGUGUUGUGGCUCCACACCACUUUGGUUAACUGAUCUGGCCACUUCCCCCUGGGUUGAUUGAAGAUUAACUUCAUUAUUCCUGUCAUUAUAAUGCCGUUGUCUCUUUCAACGAGUCCGUUUGACUCCGGAUGCCUGACUGAUGCAAAAUGGAUCUUCGUACCAAUUUGGUCACAGAAAUCCCUGAAAGCUUCAGAGUCAAACUGUGUUCCAUUAUCCACAGUGAUAUCCUUUGGCACCCCGAAACGACAAACAAUAUUCUGCCAGAAAAACUUUUGGACGGUGGCCGAAGUUAUUGUGGCUAAAGGCUUUGCCUCAAUCCAUUUAGAAAAAUAUUCCACAGCUACUACAACAUAUCUCAGGUUCCCUUGGGCCGGUGGUAACGGACCUAACAAGUCAAGGCCCCACCUUUGCAAUGGCCAAGUGGGUUGUAUGAGCUGUGUUAAGGACGAAGGUUGUUUUUGAUCUCUUGCACAUUUCUGACAACCUUCGCACUUUUGAACUAAUUCCGCUGCAUCCGAAGCUGCCUUCGGCCAAUAAAACCCUUGGCGAAAUUUUUUUCCAAGUAACGGCCUAGAUCCAAUGUGAGAUCCACACAGGCCUGCAUGUAUUUCUUUCAUUAACUCUAUACCUUCGGUUCUAGAUAAACACUUGAGUAGCGGAGCACAAACUCCAUGCUUGUACAACUCCCCUUCUAUCAUGACAUAUGGACGAGCUCUUGCCUCUAUCCUCCUGUUAUAAGCUUCGUCAUCUGAAAGGAAUUUACCCUGAAGAUAAGAGAUGAUCUCAGUUCUCCAAUCUUCGCUAUAAACAGGAGAUAUAUUAAGGACUGCUCUUUCAAGAAGUUCCACCGAAGGUGCUUUUAUUGUUUCGAAGAACACAUCCGAAGGUAAGGGCAGCCCCUGUGCUGCUGACUUAGCUAGCAAAUCAGCAUGCUCAUUUUGUCCUCGAGGGAUAUUUUUGACAGAAAAUCCCUCAAAGGAAGCUUCAACUCUUCGAACCAUAUCCAGAUACUUUUCAAGCUUCGGAUCUUUAGCCUUGCAACUCUUGUCGAUAUGACCCGAAACAACUUGGGAAUCAGUUUUAAGAAUGGCCCUUCUGAUUCCCAUUGCUUUUAGCUUCCGAAGACCCAGAAGCAGGGCUUCGUACUCGGCAAUGUUGUUUGUGCAACUAAAAUCAAGCUUUGCCGCAUAACAAGUUUUAACUUUGGAAGGUGAAACCAACACAGCAGCCGCUCCCGCUCCGAAGGUUCCCCAGGACCCAUCGCAAAACACUGUCCAUGCUUCGGCGUCUUUAUUUGUUUCUUCUUCCUGAGCCCCUGGCGUCCAGUCAGCAAUGAAGUCUGCUAACGCCUGGGACUGAAUCGAAGAUCUAUGAACAUAUUCAAUACAAAAUUCAUUGAGCUCUGCAGCCCAUUUUCCAAUCCUUCCAGUAGCUUCUCGGUUCCUCAUAAUAUCCUUCAGAGGUUGUGAAGAAGGAACACUUAUGUUGUAAGCUUGAAAAUAGUGCCGAAGCUUCCUGGAUGCCAUCAAAACAGCAUAUAACACCUUCUCUAAUUCUGUGUAGUUUUUCUUUGAUAUACUAAGAACUUCAGAUACAAAAUAUACUGGGACCUGCCUCCUAACUUGGCCAUCAAGCUUCUCCUGGACAAGUGCUGCACUUACCGCUGAAUGCGAAGCUGCCACAUAUAAUAAUAAAGGAGCCCCUGGCGUAGGUGGAGUUAGUGCUGUUAGAUCUAUCAAAUACUGCUUCAGCUCUUCGAAAGCCUUCUGCUGGAUUGGUCCCCAUUGAAAGACUUCGGCUGACUUCAACACUUCGAAGAAUGGUAAGUUUCUCUCUGCCGAUCUGGAUAUGAAUCUAUUAAGAGAUGCCAACCUUCCUGUCAAUCUUUGAGCCCCCUUUUUUGUAGUUGGUGGCUCCAUCCGAAGUAUAGCUUCAAUCUUACUUGGAUUAGCUUCAAUUCCCUUUGUUGAAACCAAGCAUCCUAGAAAUUUCCCCUUCUUUACUCCGAAGACGCAUUUUUCUGGAUUCAACUUUAAGCCAGCUUGUCUGAAACUGGCGAAGGUCUCCUGCAGGUCAGCAAUAUGAUUCUCCUGCUUCGUGCUUUUUACAAUGAUGUCAUCAACAUAAGUUAGCACAUUUCUGCCUAUCUGAGACUGGAGAACCUUCGCAGUCAUUCUGCUGAAACUUCCUCCAGCGUUUUUGAGCCCCUGAGGCAUCCGAAGAUAACAAUAUGUGCCACUUGGAGUUAUGAAGCUAGUCUUCGGCUCAUCUUCCUUCUUCAUCCAGAUUUGGUGAUAGCCUGAAUAACAGUCUAACAGACUCAUGAGCUCCGAAGAAGCUGCUGCAUCAACUAAAGAAUCUAUCCUUGGCAGUGGGAAUUCAUCCUUCGGACAAGCCUUGUUAAGAUCUGUAAAAUCGAUACACAUUCGCCACUUGCCAUUGGCCUUUUUUACCAUAACAGUGUUAGCUAGCCAUUCUGGGUACUUCACUUCUCUGAUAACUCCUGCACUGAGGAGUCUUUUGACUUCGUUGCGAGCACCUUCGACCUUAUCAUCUGACAUUUUCCGAAGCCUUUGCUUUCUGGGUCUGAAGGAUGGAUCGACAUUGAGCGAGUGCUCAAUAACAUCCCUAUUAACUCCGCAGAGAUCAUUGGCUGACCAUGCAAAAACAUCUUUGUUGUUGAACAAAAACCUUAUUAAGGUUUUCUCUUGUUCUUCGGAUAACUGAGAGCCCAACAGCACCUUCUGCUCUGCUAUAUCCUCACAUAAGAGCAUGGGCUUCGGCUGAUCUGCUGAAGCUGCUUUCUCCCUUCUGAAUUUGUAUUGCUCACAAGCUUCAGCUCCAUCUAUGUUAUGGAUUGCUUUUGAAUCAGUCCAGUUUCCUUCGGCCCUUCUGGCAGCUUCCUGGCUUCCAUGAAUAGCGAUGGGUCCUUGAUCCGAAGGUAUCUUCAUGCAAAGAUAGGCAGGGUGAAGAAUUGCUUCAAAAGCAUUGAGGGUGCCACGACCAAUAAUUGCAUUGUAAGGGUAUUCCAUGUCAACAAUGUCAAACACAACUUGCUCAGUUCUAGUGUUGUUGAUGAACCCGAAGGUCACUGACAUGGUAAUCUUGCCCAGUGCUACAAUCUGUCUUCCUCUGAAGCCACAGAGAGGAUGUGUAGCAUCAUGAAUCUUAUCUUCUGGCUCUUGCAUUUGUCUGAAGGCCUUAGCAAAUAUGAUAUCAGCUGCACUUCCUGUGUCAACCAAGACAUUGUGGACCAGAAAUCCUUUGAUAACACAAGAGAUAACCAUGGCAUCGUUGUGUGGGUAAUCCUUGAGCUGAAGGUCCUCUUGGGAGAAGGUAAUAGGAAUGUGAGACCAUCUUGACUUGAUGAAGGGUCCUUGCACCCCAACAUGCUGUACCCUUCUUUGUGCUUCCUUCUUUAGUUUCUUGUUAGCUGGCUCUGAGGAGGAGCCACCUGUGAUCGGGAGCACCAGCUUCGGGUCCGAAGCAGCUCCAGCUUGGUCGUUGAACGAAGCCAUCAGCUCAAAAAGUGGAAGUGAGUUCACCGGAGGUGGGCGCCAAUGUUGGGGACUUGUUAUCAAGUGCUAUGAAUUAAGAACAAGGCAACAUAAAAUGUUAAAUGUUAACGUCCUUCGUCCAUGAAGCAUUAUUCCCUUGAGGAUAAUGGGCCUUGGACGAAGGUUGAUGAGAGUAAAAUUACGAAGCUUAAGACUUCGUAAUUAAAUUUCAAUACAUAUUGUGAGAUAAUAUAAAAUAAAAGGUAUAAAGAAGGUAAAUAGAUCAUGGACGAGUUAUGUUAUAUUUACUUAAGAUAUUGAAUCAUAGAAUACAAUAAUACCUCUGCCUUGGCAAAGGUUGGAUUCCGAAAGAUGCGAUUCCAAUUACCAGAAUGUGUGAACAGUAAAGGAAUACUGUUCACUAUUUAUAGGCACAGGACGCAGCCUGUGAGAAAUUACAAGUAUGCCCCUUAUGAAAGCUUACAACAUUGACUCAGACCUUUAUGGACUAAAAGGUCAUUCUAUCUUUAAGUCGGUUUGUAAUACCGAAGCUUCACGAAGACGAACCUUCGGCCAUCUUAUACAAACAGCUUCAGCCGAAGACCGCUUCUUCCUGUAAGACCUUCGGCGACGAAGCAUAGGCCCAACAAUUCAUAUUUGUAUUUUAUAAAACAUGUGUGAAUAUCAACAGGAUUAAUAUUACAUUGAUACCUUCGGCUUGCUCAAAGGUGUGGAUGCGAGAUAGUGAAUACAAUCUAGCGUGAACAGUAUGGUGCUACUGUUCAUCUAUUUAUAGGCACGAGACGCAGCUCAGAUAAAAUUACAUUCAUGUCCCUGACAUUCAUCUAAUAUCAUAACACAAUUUGAAAGAUGUUACUGAAUCGGUGGAAAUGAAUCUAGUGGGUUGAUGGCUGAUCGAGCGACCCACAUUGGUUAGGGUAACAUAAAAUCCAGGUCGUCCACAUCUAAUCCUAGGGCCCCUAUUUAGUACCAAUUUAGGUUAUGUUGUUUCUAAUCUGGUGAGUCGGUUUGUGAUCGGACGACUGAUAUCGGCUGAUACCCCCUUCGGCCGGUGGUUUUGCAAAGUAGACCUUGCGAAAAACAGAAAUAAACUCGUCGUCCAUCACGACUUAGUCUGAGUCUUGGAAAACUUUACAAGUUAGCCCCUAAGUUUUUCUGUAACAGUGCGCGUAGUCCAGAGAACAGAUAAUUUAGAUAAAUCAUUAUAGAAAUUGAUUUUUAAUACAAAAAUAAUUCCAGAAACUUGUAUAAUUCAUAUUUAAUUCAUUUUAAUUCCAAAUUGAUCCAUUCCAGUGGCAUUAAUUUUGUUUUAAUAUUGUUUAUCACUUAGUGCCACUGUUUUAGCAUGAAACUCAUAUUAAAUUUGAUCACUCAAUUAAUCUUGUACUAAACACAUAAAUACUUCGGAAAAUCAUAUCUUAAAAUCCGUAACUCCAAAUUUAGUGAUCCUUUUUCCUACAAUCUCGUUUUAAUGCAUAGAUUAUUAAUAUGUAUUCUGUAUUCAUGUUUGGUGUGAUGUUAAUUUAUCCUUGUACAAUGUGUGUUUGUAUUGUGGCGAGUAGAAGAGCUAGUGGUCGAGGAUCCGGUUGUUUAGCAGGUAGAAAGUGUUGAGCAGGAGCUCAUUGAAGGCAAGUUGUGCCCUUGACCACUUUAUUUACCCAAUAAUAUUCUUUAUAAUCAUUUAUUCAUGCAUAGGCUUAAUUUUGAUGGGACCCAAUAGGUCACCCUAGUCUGGUUAUCUUUUCACCUUGUUUACCCCUGAAUUUUUGGGUAGUAAUUAAUUGCUAUUGUUGUACAUGGUUUUGGGUGUUGAGAUAACUAUUACACAUGAUUAUUCUUUAUUGCUGCUCUAUCUCUGUUCAUGAUAAGACAACUAUGUUAAUUGGAUCAUCGAGCUUAACUUGAGAAACAUGUGCCACCACAAGGGUGGAAUGGGACGCCCUUGGCUGACUAACUAGGAAAGCUAGUGGAGGACUACCUUACCCGAUAGGGGCAAAAGCAGUAGGGGAGUAGGCAUGUAGGGAGGUUCCCGGGUUGGUUUUGCUGCGAUGGCGCUCAAACGGGGAUUCCUGCAUUGCUCUUCCUAUAAACUGUAGCGGGUUUUCUAAAGCUAGUGGAACUUUGUAAAGGCCUCGUAGUGGAUCCCUAGCCAUUCACCUCGGUAGUGUGUAAGGGUCUAGCUAACCCUGGCGACAUGGGAUACACGACUUGUGGAUACAGGGUACAACCUCUGUAGAGUGUAAAACUGGUAUACUAGCUGUACUCGCGGUUAUGAGCAGCUCAGGACUCUCGCAUGAUUAAUUUAUGGGGUCAUUUGCAUUGCAUGGGAUGUAUUAUUAAUUUUGAUCUAAUAUUACUCGAGUUUGGUAUCUACUUACAUUUAGUUGUUGGGGGCCUUUAUCUUCCGAAGGUCCUCAAAAACACGACUAACAUGUUUUCCAAGUAUAAUAUAUUCAUAGGGACCUUCGGCCUUGGGAUGAAGGUGUACAUGAUAUGAAAAGCGUGGUCUAGGAGAAGGAUGAACCAGUUCCGAAGCUACGUGUGGAGAAGCUUCGACUUAGCGGUGGAAAAUGAAACCGACUUAAACGGGAAAAGGUUGUCUAGUCGUCGAUAGAUUAUCCCUUAGUCAAUAGUAAAUGUCAAGGGCAUGGAUGUAAUUUUACAUAGGCUGUGUCCUGUGCCCAUAAAUAGAUGAACAGUAGCACCGUACUGUUAACACAGACUUGUAUUCACUCGCACGUCACACUUGGAUUCUUGCCUUCUGUCAAGCCGAAGGUACAAAUGUAAUUCAAUAUGGUUGAUGUUUAUUCAUGGCUAUUUAAGAAGAAUACAAAUAACAUAAUGAUUUAAGAUGAUUAUUCGUAUAUGUAAUUUAUGCUCCCGUUUUCUAUUACAUGCUGAGAUGAUGAAGGUAUGCCCUUCAUGACCUUCGUCUGAAGAUCAUUAUAUUCUAAGGGAGAUAAUGUUUCGAAGGACGAAGGCCCUUAACCAUUAACAUUUGUGGUGCCUUGUUCUUAACUCAUAGCAAUUGAGAACAAGUCCCCAACAUUGGUGCCCACCUCUGGUGAACUCAUUCGACCACCUUCGGCAAGUUGUAACCUUCGUCAUGCCGCCGAAGAAAGCUUCAGCGCUGGGGCUGCAUUGCAGCCACUGGACGUCAACCAAGAAACACUGUGUGAAGCUAGAAGCCAAAAAAAGGAAGGCUACAAGUCCAACGCCUCAGGAGGAGGAGUUGGACCAAGAAAUAAGGGACCUCGAAACCAUCCAUCAACAGGUCCAGAGGAAGAAGGAGAAGAUGCUUCAUCUUUCCGAUCUUCAGAGGAAGAUCGAUGAGGCUGCUGAGGAAAUGCGUCAUCUCACUCAAGAUGACCAGGAUCGAAGACCUCAACGCAGAGAGCUUCGUCAGGACAAUUCCUAUGAUGAUGACGAAUGCUAUGAUGAUUUCCAUCAUGGAAAUUUUGCUUUUGAUGAUGCUUAUCCUCUCUCAGCAGAACUGCAGGCUACCCCAUGGCCCCCAUCAUACAAGCCACCCCAGCUCCCUAUGUAUGAUGGGCACUCAGACCAGAAGCAGUUUCUAAUGUGCUACGAAGCAACCAUAUCUUCAUAUGGGGCCAACACAGCAGUCAUGGCGAAAUCCUUCGUCAUGGCAGUCAAAAAUGUCGCACAAACCUGGUACUCUUCUCUCGGGCCAGGAACAAUCACACCAUGGCAGAAGCUGAAGGACAUGCUGAUCACCAGCUUCCAAGGGUUUCAGACAAAGUCGGUCACUGCUCAGGCUUUGUUCCAGUGCACGCAAGACCAUGAAGAAUACCUCCAGGCGUAUGUUCGAAGGUUCUUGCGUCUAAGGGCACAAGCGCCCAUAGUGCCCAAUGAAAUUGUCAUUGAGGCCAUGAUCAAAGGGCUUCGGCCAGGACCUACGGCUCAAUACUUUGCCAAGAAACCCCCUCAGACCCUGGAGAAGCUUCUUCAGAAGAUGGAUGAGUACAUCCGGGCUGAUAAUGAUUUUCGCCAAAGAAGGGAAGAAGCCUAUAGGUUUUCUGAAAUGACUAGGGGCUUCAGAGGAAGAAUUCACCCUAGGCAUGUCAGAUCAAUCCAUAACUCCGACCAGAGUGAUGACAGAGGAAGCCAGCUACAAAGGCCACAACACAGCUCUCAAUUCUCAAGACAACAGCAAAGCUCUUUCAGGCCACCAGCCCCAAGGGGUAGGGGCGGCAGGGGCUUCGGAGGAAGGUAUGAGUAUCAACCCAGAAGCUCUAUUGCUUAUUCUGUGGUGAAGACAAGGGCCACACUACAAGAACAUGCCAGGUCACUAUUCAGAAGCAAAAGGAGAUUGCCGAAGCAGAGGCGUGGCAGAAUCAGUCGAAGCAGGUCUUACAUACUGCUUCAUGUUAUUCUCGCUACGUACCAGAAUACGUAGGUAAUCAACCUGCGGCUUCUGUUGCUUGGGAAGUCAUUCACAAGCUUCCUGGGCCCAGCUCCCAUUACCACCACCAUUGCCACAUACUCACACCCGAAGCCAGCAGCUAGAAGGGCAUCAGCACACCCAACAACAGCGCGACUUCCGGGAGGAGUCCGAAGCACGUACAGUCAAUAGCACUGUGCCAGAAUCGAAGCAUAUAUACUGAGGAAUAUCCUACUUUUGAUGUAUCUCUUUUAUGCCAUUUUAUUUUUUGUACGAGAAAUAAUGAAGGACUUAAUUUCCAUUUCUUGUAAUAAUUGCGUCUGCAUCAAUGAGUAAAAUAUACCUUCCUCACAGAUUUCCGAAGCUCAAAAGACGUCUCUAAGGAAAUGAUGUCAAUUCUGAAGCUCAAAAGUCGUUUCUAAGGGAAUGCAGAGCCAAAAAUUACGAUCUGAAGCUGAAAAAUUCGUUCCUAAGGGAGCGCGGUGUAAGUUUUCUGCUCAAAAGUCGUUCCUAAGGGAAUGCGGAGCCAAAAAAAUUACGAUCCGAAUCAGCAAAAGUCAUUCCUAAGGGAGCGCAGCGUAAGUUUUCUGCUCAAAAGUCGUUCCUAAGGGAAUGCAGAGCCAAAUACCACCGAAAUAUAAGGUGAAGAAGCUCAAAAGUCGUUCCUAAGGGGAUGCAGAGCUUAAAUACCACCGAAAUAGAAGGUGAAGAAGCUCAAAAGUCGUUCCUAAGGGGAUGCAGAGUCUUGUGUAUUUCAGUGUGGGCGCGCGCGUGUGUAUCUUCGGCAUCAUCAUCAUUUUGCAUCAUAUCAUCAUAUCAUUUCGCAUAACAUUACAUCAUACAUCAUAUCGCAUCAACGGCACAAAAAAAUUGGAUACGAAGCAAACCUUCGGCAAUACUUUGUUAAUGGAAAUAUACUGAGGCACGAAAUGAAUUUUGGGAAAUACAGUUUUAUCAGACUUGUCAUGGAAGGGGCUUCUUUCUUUACGAAGCAUGAAAAGAAGGGAAGAUGUUUUUUCGUCGAAGGCUCAAAAAUGGUAUGUGCGUAAAUUUCAUGCAUCGUAAAGAAAUAUAUUACAGUAAUUUACAUGUCCCAUAAAUUGUUCCAUACAUCAAGCAUUACAAAAGUAU